rnacentral:rRNA from 1 species
GACGAACGCUGGCGGCGUGCUUAACACAUGCCAGUCGAACGGUGAAGGGAUCAGCUUGCUGGUUCUGGAUGAGUGGCGAACGGGUGAGUAACACGUGAGUAACCUGCCCCCUUCUUCUGGAUAACCGCAUGAAAGUGUGGCUAAUACGGGAUAUUCUGGGUCUGUCGCAUGAUGGGUCUGGGAAAGAUAUUGUUUCGGUGGGGGAUGGGCUCGCGGCCUAUCAGCUUGUUGGUGGGGUGAUGGCCUACCAAGGCGGUGACGGGUAGCCGGCCUGAGAGGGUGGACGGUCACACUGGGACUGGGACACGGCCCAGACUCCUACGGGAGGCAGCAGUGGGGAAUAUUGCACAAUGGGCGCAAGCCUGAUGCAGCGACGCCGCGUGAGGGAUGGAGGCCUUCGGGUUGUAAACCUCUUUCGCCAGUGAAGCAGGCCUGCUCCUUGUGGGUGGGUUGACGGUAGCUGGAGAAGAAGCGCCGGCUAACUACGUG